UAAUUCAACUACAAGAACCCUA
rnacentral:tRNA from 3 species